rnacentral:tRNA from 1 species
GAGGGUAUAGCUCAGUGGUGGGUGAAUCCUUAGCAUAUAUAAUGCCUUGGGUUCAAUUCCCAGUACCUCCA